AGAGUGAACGCUGGCGGCAUGCCUAACACAUGCAAGUCGAACGGUAACAGGCCCGCAAGGGUGCUGACGAGUGGCGGACGGGUGAGGAAUACAUCGGAAUCUGCCCGGUUGUGGGGGAUAACGUAGGGAAACUUACGCUAAUACCGCAUACGACCGAGAGGUGAAAGCGGGGGACUCGCAAGAGCCUCGCGCGAUCGGAUGAGCCGAUGUCGGAUUAGCUAGUUGGCGGGGUAAAGCCCACCAAGGCGACGAUCCGUAGC
rnacentral:rRNA from 1 species